AUGCCAGCAGCCGCGGUACCACCGGCAGCCCGAGUGAUGGCCGAUCUUAUUGGGCCUAAAGCGUCCGUAGCUGGCUGCGCCAGUCCGUCGGGAAAUCCACCCGCCCAACGAGUGGGCGUCCGACGGAAACUGCACAGCUUGGGACCGGAAGGCUCGAAAGGUACGUUCGGGGUAGGAGUGAAAUCCCAUAAUCCCGCACGGACCACCGAUGGCGAAAGCACUUCGAGAAAACGGAUCCGACAGUGAGGGACGAAAGCCAGGGUCUCCAACCGGAUUAGAAACCCCGGUAGUCC
rnacentral:rRNA from 1 species